rnacentral:rRNA from 1 species
AUGGAUCAGGAGCUGAUCGAGCACCUUGAGGCCAAAGUGAGUGCUAAUAGUGCGAGAUUCCAGUCUCUCAUCGAUUUGUUCAUGCCAACCAUCGACAGCGAGCACGACAUAUGUUACACCCAACCUGAGAAACUUCCAGGUACACUAAAACCUGUAUUCCACAAUCCUACAUGUAUCACACUGAGUGGCCUAAGGAAGCAUUUCUUCCAGCGCAAUUCUAGGGCGUUCAAAAGGGGCGCGUGGACGCGUCGCAAGAUACAGUCGGAGUGUGGCAUGCACGCGAUGUGGCACAAGACCGGCAAUACCUUGCCGGUGAUGGUCAACGGUCGGCAGACGGGCAGCAAAAAAGGUUCUGGUGAUGCACACCAACAAGAACUUCGACCAGCAGAGGACCAACUGGGUGAUGCACCAGUACCACCUCGGGGACCUGGAGCAAGAGAAGGAGCGGGAGCUAGUCCUCUGCAAGAUUUUCUACCAGACGAACACUAG